rnacentral:rRNA from 1 species
AUACGGAGGGUGCGAGCGUUAAUCGGAAUUACUGGGCGUUAAGGGUGCGUAGGCGGCUUGAUAAGUCGGAUGUGAAAGCCCCGGGCUUAACCUGGGAAUUGCAUUCGAUACUGUCAGGCUAGAGUAUGUAAGAGGUUGGCGGAAUUCCUGAUGUAGCGGUGAAAUGCGUAGAUAUCAGGAGGAAAACCAGUGGCGAAGGCGGCUAACUGGGGCAAUACUGACGCUGAGGCACGAAAGCGUGGGGAGCAAACAGGAUUAGAAACCCUAGUAGUCC